UUAGAACCAAUAAUAUGUGGGAAAUUAUUUUAAACUUCACAAAUAAAGAUAAACUUCACAAAUAAAGAUAGGGAUUGACUGGAUAUAAUAAAAUAUUAAAAAAAAAAACAGAUGUAACUUUCUUUUAGUAAAAAUUCUUAGUAAAAUAAAAAAUAUAUACAAACUACGUAUGUAGAAGAAUUAAUGUACUUCCGGAUGCAUGAAAACUAAAGAGAGAACACAUCACUUGAAGCAUAAAUCCUUGUUCUUUUAUAUAUAGGUUAUAGUUAAUGAAGAACGAGUCAGUAAAACUCAGCCAUGGCGGGUGGAGACUCAGUUGUCCAGCUAAGUCCUCCUAGCAGUUGAAUCAAAACCCCCAUCGAGCUCAAACCGUCGCCUGACAUUGGAAAUAAAGGUGGUGGCCAUUGAAUCCACAUUAUCGUCUCCACGACCCCAAGUUUCAUUUGCAUAGCCCUUGUGGUCGUAAAAGCUAGGUGACUUAUUAAAGUAAGACACUACCUUGUGUUGAUUGGAACAACCGGUUGGUUGCUUCGACACCACUGUAAUAAUUGUCGAAUAGUUCGCCUUCACGAUGUUCUGGCCGACGGUGCUACCGGAGUUGGUGACGUUGUCUCGAGAGAAAGACUUGGGUAGCACUAGCAGCUUGUUUUUGAAGAACCCUUUCUUCUUUUGAGUGGCGGUGGCCUCCAUUAAAGUUGUUUCAAGUUAAUAAAAAAAACAAAGCCCUGAGCCUACUAAAAACUGUUUAGAAAACACAAAGAAGAAGAAGAUGAAGAAGCUGAGGAAAUGAGUUUUUCCUUCUUUUUUUGGCUUGGGUUGUAUCUUAACGAUGGCCAAACUCUCCUAUAUAUAUAUAUAAAUGAGUUUUGUUUGUGGGAGUGGCUUUUGCUUUUUAGAUUCACAUAGAAAAAACCCUGCACUUUCGGUACAUGCGUAACACAUACAUAUACACACACAAUCACUUUUAAAAUAGUUUCAGUCUUCCAUACAAAAUAGGAACCGAAUGAUAUGAUUAUAUUUUCCAGGUGCGCGUAUAUAGUGGUGCUUUGAAGCGUGUUUUAAGACACGGUCCGCCAUUGGCAACUGCUCCGAACUUGCUCUGAAUACUUCCACACUAUUUCCUUGGGACUGUCUGAUAUGUUGAGAUUCUAAUAUUCUAUCUUCUUUCUAAAGCAAAGCAUUCAACUUCAUAGAAAUUUCCUUUUAUCAAAAAUCCCGGGGAAGAUUUUGGUAAAAGUAUAGGACAAAAAAAUAGACUUAGACAAAAAUAUAAGAUCCGUUUUUUAAACGGGUUAAGUCUUGGGUAAAAUUUUUUGCUCAAGUUCAAUCUAGCCCAGCAUAAAUCAGUUGUUUUGCUGUCGUUUCGCUAUUAUAUUGUUAUUAGUUUGUUGUUAUUAUUUGGAUAUUAUAUAGCUAUUAUUUUAUUGUUAAUUUUGUUACUAUUUUAAAGACAUUUGCUUGCUAAGUUCGAAACUAUAUUAGUGUUAUUUAAAUAUAAAGAUUUUUUUAAUUUAUUUUCAAUUUGUUGAUAUUUUAAUAUUCUAUAUUCUUUCUAAAGCAAAGCAUUGAACUUCAUAGAAAUUCCCUUUUAUCAAAAAUCCCGAAAAAGUAGAAAGAUUUUGGUAAAAGUAUUGGACUAAAAAAUAGAUUUGGAUAACAAAUAAGGUCGGUUUAUUAAACUGAUCAAGUCUCAAGUAAGAUUUUUUCUCAAGUCCAGCUUGACCCGGCCAGAAUCAGUUGUUUUUGUUGUUGUUUCGCUAUUAUAUUGUUAUUAGUUUGUUGUUAUUGUUUAGAUAUUAUAUAGUUAUUAUUUUAUUAUUAAUCUUGCUACUAUUUUAGAUAUAUUUAUCUGUUAAGUUAAAACUAAAUUAAUGUUAUUUAAGUAUAAAGACUUUUUUAAUGCAUUUUCAAUUGGUUGAGAAAAUUUUAUUUUAAUGUUUUUAAUGUAUUUGAUAUAUUAUAUUUUUUAAAUUCAUAUAAAAAAUUUUAAAUGAUUAAUACAUGUGAACUGAAAUUAGUAUUUUUAAUUUGGAUCGAACUUAAACUCAUUUUCAAGCUAAACAAACUCAUACCUAAAAAAAUAUACCUAAAAUUAUACAUUCCGCGUACUGAAGCACGGCCCGACUAAUGAUGAGGUCAAGCUCGAUGGAUUUACAAAGAUCAUAGUUUUUAUUUUAUUUAUUUUUAAUGUAAGGUGUUGAUAUUGUAUACUAAUAGUGGUAAGAUUAUGAUACAUUCCACAUAUUAAUUUAUAAUUAUAUUAAUUUUUAGAGAUUUAACAGAAUUUUUCUAUUUUCAGAACGUGGAAAUUUGAUUUAAUUAUAUAUUAAUUUAUAAUUUAAAUAUUUUUAAGAAGUUUAUAUCAAUUUUUUUAUAUUUUUUAGAGUUAAAGUCGCUUCUUGCCGCUUAAAUUUGCUCUUGGAAAUUAAUAAAUAAUUAUUACGAUAUGAAAUAUAAGGAAAGAUUUAGGUUUAAACUUUUAAGAUUUUAUUAUUGGAAGAUAAUCACGAACUUCAAACAUAAAUAGUAAAAUAGAUACGGAGAAUAUAAAGUAAAAAACUUUAAUAAUUGGGGAUUAAAACCCAUAAUAUGCAUUUUUUUUCUCUAUUUUCAGAUUGCAGUGUUUUUUCAUAUAUAAGAACAGAAGUGUGUAAACAAACUACACAUGUAGAAGAAGAAAUAUACUUCAGGAUGCAUGAAAACUAAAAACUUUACACUUCACUUGAAGUAUAAAUCAAUGCCUAAAAACUAGUAGACUAUAGUUACUAAGACCCGAGUCACUGAAACUUGGUUACCAUGGGAAGCGGAGAGACUCAGUAGUUUUCCCCAGUAGAAUCAACAACCCUAUCAAGCUCAAACCGUCGCCUGACAGUGGAAAUAAAGUCGGUGGCCAUGGAAUCCACGUUGUCGUCUCCACGACCCCAGGUUUUUUCGGCGUAGCACUUGUGGUCGUAAAAGCUAGGUGACUUAUUAAAGUAAGACACCGGCUUCUGCAUGGAGGAUGAAAGAUUUGAAACACUCAUCUUUGGUUGCUUGGUGACUGAAGAGAAAGACUUGGGCAGCAGCUUGCUGCCUUUGAAGAACCCUUUCUUCUUCAUUUGAGGACUGGUCUCCAUUAAAACUAUUAUUAUCAACCAAAUAACAAAACAGAGCCUAGUAAAUUACAGUUAAAGAAGAAGAAGAAGAAGAAGAAGAAGCUGAGUAGAUGAUGUUUUGGCUUUGGGUUGUUCUUAAAAAUGGCCGAACUCUCUUUAUAUAUAUAAUGAUAGAGGCUUUGUGUUGUGCCUUUCCAAGAAAUGUACCCUUU
rnacentral:lncRNA from 1 species